rnacentral:rRNA from 1 species
GGCACGGUCCAGACUCCUACGGGAGGCAGCAGUAGGGAAUAUUGCUCAAUGGGCGCAAGCCUGAAGCAGCAACGCCGCGUGGAGGAUGAAGGUUUUAGGAUUGUAAACUCCUUUUGUGAGAGAAGAUAAUGACGGUAUCUCACGAAUAAGCACCGGCUAACUCCGUGCCAGCAGUCGCGGUAAUACGGAGGGUGCAAGCGUUACUCGGAAUCACUGGGCGUAAAGAGCGCGUAGGCGGGAUAGUCAGUCAGGUGUGAAAUCCUAUGGCUUAACCAUAGAACUGCAUUUGAAACUACUAUUCUAGAGUGUGGGAGAGGUAGGUGG